CACAGAAGCGGAAGCGAAAGUUUCUCCAGUCGAAACGUGUGUGAUGAAUCUCUCCGCGUAAAUUGGCCGCCCCAUCUCUCUCCGCAAACGACACAAAGCGGCGACGGACCAACUGAGCCCAGACUCCUCUAGGGUUUGCAGUCUCCACCGGAGAUAGAACCGGCAGCGAUGGCGGCUUGCGGGGCAAAGGCAGGAUCGGAAGACAAUUGAUCUGGAGGAGGGUGGAACUUCAUGCAGAAAGAGGCACACACCUUGGCUCAUCCAGAUCUGUGAGAUGACGGGCAAGAAGGCACAUCGAGGAGAUUUUAGCUCUUGAGGAACAGAGCACUCGCAACAACCUGAAGUUCAUGAAGGUACUGUUAGUCUUCUAACUUCACUGGAACGAUGCUUCAACUUUAUUCCCCCUUGCUCAUGUCAUGCCCGGUUCCCUCCCUUAUCAUCAUUCCACUCUGACAGUUUUAUGCUUGCUAGGUGCUUGAUGGAAUUCCUAGACGUGUGUUUCCGAGGGAGGUAAAGGCAAAUAAUUUAGAUGAAAUGAUUAACUGAUGAGAUUCUCCCAGUUUCUCUUAUCGGGGUUGAUAUAAUAAGUUCCUUGGCAUGAAUAAUGAAUUCCUGACUAUAGUUGUGUUUCCAUCAAAGAAAAUUCACUCCUUAGUAAUUGAAUAAUUUUUGCAGUUCAAAUUUUAAGGAGACUCUGGUUGAAAAGUAUCUGUUAUUAUUUUCUUUUCCCUUGAUUGUAAGCUUACUGCAUACUCUUUUGUUACCUACAGGUUUCAGGUAAUGGCAUGCGAUUCUGGGAGGUAGCAAAUGACAUUGCUGGAAUGAUUGACAUUGUUACUGUGCUGCUUACCUAUUGAAGUUAAAUAAGAUGUACUAUUACUUUCUUGCGAUAAAACUGAAUUAUAUUUUGCCUGAUUUGCAAAUAUGGGUAACACUGACCUAUUUCUAUAUGAUUACUGAACUUUUAUCCAUCAUUAAUUAGUUUACACUUUACAGGUAAAGCUUUACAACCAUAUCAAAGCCAAUGAUGCAGCUAUACUUUGAUGUACCAAGAUCUGACAAGGUUCUUUUCCAACAGCUUAGAUAGGGCUUCUGCAACUUAUUUUGAUCCAAACCACUGGACAAACUGUGUGACCUGAAACUGGAAGCAAAAACAUUGAUGUGCGUUCUGCGGAUGUGGACGCUGGGCGGCAGCGGCGUAGGCGAGUGCACCAGAGUGGACGACUUGUGAGCAGCGGGGCAGCGCGACAGCGCCUGCAUGAGAACGAGGGACAUGAGCUGUUGCUCUGCUCCAUGUCCUCCUCUCUCACAUCUUCCACACGUCAUCCAUCAUGCGCCUGCAACUACUGCUUUCUCUCCAUGAGCUAGUGUUAAUAUCUGGACGGACCCCUGGAUUCCAAGGCCGUGGUCGUGAAGGGUGAUCACCCCAAGGGGGAACAAUCUGCUGCAGUUUAUUAAUGACCUGAUAGAUCCGGGUACUUGGCAAUGGGAUGAACGCCUAGUGCGAGAAACAUUUUGCACGGAUGAUGCCAGGCAUAUAAUGCAGAUGCCGCUGCGGGAGGGGGUGAAAGACUUCAUAGCCUGGCAAUUUGAUAAUAAAGGUCUCCACUCGGUCAAGAGUGCGUACAAGCUGUAUGUCGAAUUAAACACGAUUAGGAAGAAUGGCGGAGCGAUGCGGGUAAUCUGAACAGUUGUAAGAACGAGUCUUGGAAAAGGAUCUGGAAGCUGCCGUGCCAGCGAAAUGUCCAGAUGUUUACAUGGAGGGUGCGGCAUGAAUCAUUGGCACUUCUAACAAAUAUGCAGAAGAGAGGCUUCAAGCUGGAGAGCACGAAAUGCUUGUUUUGUGGCCGUGUUGAUGAAGAUGGAGCGCACCUGUUCAUCAAGUGUAAGGCUGUUAAGAAGGUGUGGCGGGAGCUUGCUCUUGAGGAAGAAAAGAAUGGAGCUGGAAACUAUCUCGUUUGUACAUGCUAUGAUGGAUUAUCUAUGGGGCUGGCUGAGACAAAACGCAUGCAUAUCCUCACUUUCUGGUGGCUCUGGUGGAGCGCACGGAAUAAACUACGGAAGGGGGAGCUUGUUGCGUCGGCGGAUGAGCUAGCAAGACGCACGCGUAGCUACGUAUUGGAUUACAUGCAAGCCUUUCUCCCACCAGCCAAAAAGAUAUGUGCUGAUAAGUGGAGGCCACCACAGGCAGAAAUGGUGAAAAUCAAUGUUGAUGGAGCCUUUGUCCCAGGGGAUGAUCACGCUGGAUGGGGAGCUGUGGUGCGAACCAUGGAUGGCGCGGUGGUGGGAGCCCGGGCUAGAAGACAGGAGCAUGUGCAGGAUGCGUCAUGCUGUGUCAAUGGCAGCAGAGCUGGAAAUAAUAAGGGUGGAGUUCGAAACUGACUCAUAGCUGGUGGCGGAGGCUUUUCGACCUCGGGAAGGCUGAUUCAUCACCGUAUGCUGCGGUCAUUGAGGACGUGAAGUACCAGCUCAAGAUGUGGUUCCCCAAACAUGUAAUAAAAGUUUGCCGCCGUAGUGCCAACUCAGUUACACAUAAGUUAGCUAGCGUUGGGCGCAUGUGCCCUCAAAACUCAAUUAUGGAGUGGGACUCUGAUGUACCAGCCCAAUUGGUUGUUUGUGUCUCGGGUGAUCUACCAGAGAGCCGUUAAGUUAUA